rnacentral:rRNA from 1 species
CCUACGGGAGGCAGCAGUGGGGAAUAUUGGGCAAUGGGCGCAAGCCUGACCCAGCAACGCCGCGUGAAUGAAGAAGUCUUUCGGGUUGUAAACUUCUUUUCUCAGGGACGAAGAAAGUGACGGUACCCGAGGAAUAAGCCACGGCUAACUACGUGCCAGCAGCCGCGGUAAUACGUGGGUGGCAAGCGUGAUCCGGAUUUACUGGGUGUAAAGGGAGUGUAGGCGGGACUGCAAGUCAGAUGUGAAACCCACGGGCUCAACCUGUGGCCUGCAUUUGAAACUGUAGUUCUUGAGUACUGGAGAGGCAGACGGAAUUCCUAGUGUAGCGGUGAAAUGCGUAGAUAUUAGGAGGAACACCAGUGGCGAAGGCGGUCUGCUGGACAGCAACUGACGCUGAGGCGCGAAAGCGUGGGGAGCAAACAGGAUUAGAUACCCCGGUAGUC